rnacentral:misc_RNA from 1 species
GAGCCCCUGUGCAAACUCGCUCCGACGACCCCUCUCCUCUUGAUCCUUUUCCGAUAGAGACGGUUCGAUGCACUCUACAAUAUUCUCAUCAGAAAUCUUGUUAUCUAUGAUGACUUCAUCUAAAAGUUCGGGUUGUACUUCUUUUAACGAAUCCAUGGGCAAACUAAUAAAUGACGACAGCAAUGGAUCCGCAGCUGAACUGGUAGGUGCAACUGUGUAGGAAGAGCCACCCAAAAGAGAUUGUAGAGUCCCUUCCCGGAGAUCCUUUCGGAAAAAAGAAAUUGCAGAUUGUGUCCCUGAU